GGGCCGCGCCUCCUCCCCGGCGGCGACGCCUAGGAUCUCCGAGGUUCGACCUCUCCUCUCCUCUGCACCACCUUCUACCCCUCCGGCGGCCUGGGGUGUAUAUAUUGAUAUUAACAAUUGUUAAUCCUGCCAUCGGUGUGAAGCCUAGCAUCUAGUGAUGAGUCCCACUGUCAAUUAAUUAAACAAGUACGCGAUGCGAUCUUGGGUGCUGAACGGGAGCACAUGCCACUCGCUAGUCCCAACAAGCAUCUACGCAGAUCUAUAGGUAGGUUAAAUUUUGUGUUAGCAUGUACUAGUACAAUUGCUCGUUGAAGAUUGCAUUGGCAUGUGCCUUCGUAGUAGAUCGACAAAUAGUGAAACUUCAGGCCUGACGAAUCUUGAUUAAGAAUACUAGAACAUGUGGAACGAUCGAGGUCGCUAAGUAAACUUCCAUUAUCUAUCUAUAUAAGCAGGACAUAGGGGCUUGAAAUCUGCAUCUCAGAUCCAUCCACACACAAAUGAUCAGAGGAGAAGAAAGAUGCUGGAACGGUACUGAUGGAGGCCACUGAGGUGAGGAUUGGCAAAUCCGUGCUGAAUGAGUGCUUGGGUACGCCAAAUUCGCCAUCAUGUAUUUGGUAGCUGGAUUUUCUCACCCAACAAACAUAAUACAGGAGGAUGUGAGGAUUGGAAAACCCUAAAAAUAUUAUAUGUGGGCACAUAAAAGUAAAAACAUAGUAGAAAUAAAAAAAUUCAUACAAAUAUUAGAAGGCAAGUGCGAACCUGUUAGCAAAUAUUAUCUGACAUAAAUCAGAAUCCAUGAAAUGGGGCCGGUCAAUUCAGAUUCUUGCAAGUUUGAGUACAAGCCAGAGAUAUGGAACUCCUAACUUUUGUAAAACUAAUAUGUUUCAGAAUUGUUAUGAUUUCAUCCAAUCCAGUAUGUAGGUUUUUUUUAGGACAUUGGCGUAGCCUUCAGGAUGAUUCUUUGAACAUCAAUUCUCGUGAAGACUUGUUGCCUCACAUACAAAUAACUACAUUUUAUUAAUUAUGUAGUUUAUGAUAAAAUUUAGUACUUUUGUUAUCUCUUUUGAUUUUGAGUUGGAAUCCCAGUUAUAUUACUUAGCAUAACUUGAUAUUUUGUACUUUUUCAUGUAUAUACAUUUUUUUAUUCUCC
rnacentral:lncRNA from 1 species